GCCAGAAUGGUGUAGUGGUUUGAGCAUUGGACUAGGACUCUGGAGACUAGGGUUCAAAUCCUCACUCAGCCA
rnacentral:tRNA from 1 species